rnacentral:rRNA from 1 species
AUUGAACGCUGGCGGCAGGCCUAACACAUGCAAGUCGAACGAGUGGCGGACGGGUGAGGAAUGUCUGGGAAACUGCCCGAGGGAGGGGGGUAAAAACUGGAAACGGUAGCGAAUACCGCGUACAAUAGGAGGUGACCCGAUGGGAUUAGCUUGUGGGUGGGGGAACGGCUCACCUAGGCGACGAUCCCUAGCUGGUCUGAGAGGAUGACCAGCCACACUGGAACUGAGACACGGUCCAGACUCCUACGGGAGGCAGCAGUGGGGAAUAUUGCACAAUGGGCGCAAGCCUGAUGCAGCCAUGCCGCGUGUAUGAAGAAGGCCUUCGGGUUGUAAAGUACUUUCAGCGGGGAGGCGUUACCCGCAGAAGAAGCACCGGCUAACUCCGUGCCAGCAGCCGCGGUAAUUC